rnacentral:rRNA from 1 species
UGGGGAAUCUUGCACAAUGGGCGAAAGCCUGAUGCAGCAACGCCGCGUGCGGGAAGAAGGCCCUCGGGUUGUAAACCGCUUUCAGAAGGAACGAAACUGACGGUACUUUCAGAAGAAGGUGCGGCCAACUACGUGCCAGCAGCCGCGGUGACACGUAGGCACCAAGCGUUGUCCGGAUUUAUUGGGCGUAAAGAGCUCGUAGGCGGUUCAGUAAGUCGGGUGUGAAAACUUUGGGCUUAACCCAAAGCGUGCAUCCGAUACUGCUGUGACUUGAGUACGGUAGGGGAGCGGGGAAUUCCUAGUGUAGCGGUGAAAUGCGUAGAUAUCUGGAGGAACACCGGUGGCGAAGGCGACAUCCUGGACCAAUUCUGACGCUGAGGAGCGAAAGCCAGGGGAGCAAACGGGAUUAGAUACCCCCGUAGUCCCUGAGCGGGCUGGCAAGGCGCAU